CUGUGAACCGGAAACGCCACCCCCGCAGGGACGGCAGCCUCCGUUACAGUCGGGGCGCGAGGGGCUUAUCUCUUUCUUUUUGUUUCGCAGUUUUUUUGUGUGCCUUUAAAAAUGUUUUCACUGUUGCCCAAUUACAGUCGUUUGCAUUCUCCCGCCAUCGCUCUCCCCGGCUCCGCCCCUCCCCACACAUUCAAUCCUCACCCCCCAACCUCACCCCGUUGUCUUUGGCCCUGGGGGUGUUCCUUUGUAUAAUAGGAGUCCUUCGACUUGACCCUUCUCCCCCUUCCUUCCCCGAUUAUCCGCGUCCCCGCGCCGCUCUAGGCACCGUCAGUUUGUUCUUUAUUUCCUUGACUGACUCCGGUUCUGUGUCGCUCGCCUGUUUGGGGAACGAGGCAGCGGCAGCAGCAGAACAAGUUGGCGCGUCUCGGAGGAGAGCAAACUGCCCGCGCGUUAGCCCCGCUCCCGACCGGCCAGGUCGCGCCGGUUCAGGGGGACUGGCCUGGGCAGAAACAGUCCGUGAGGCCAACGGCCAACUUUUACAAGACCCAAGUUUGAGAUGAAUGUUUGAGGGAAAUGUUAAGUUCCAGAAGGGACCUACAGAGAGAAGAAAGCUGCCAUCUCAGGGAUUUAAAAGAACAGUUACAACCCUGGCUUCACGUAGUUGGGGUCAUCACCAAGCGCUGUCGGGGCGCUAUAGCAGGAUCUGGCCCCGCGCCGGGGUCCGCGCCGGUCAGUCUGCCCUUGACGCGCUGCUGCUGCUGGGCGGUGGGGAGUCAUGAACCCGAGAGGCAGCCCCGAGGAGCAAAAGGGGCGAGGAGCUAGCGGCCUGGCGGCCGACCCCAGCCCGCGCCCCCAGGGGCGGUAAGUAGCAGUUAGGGAGCCCUGGGGCGACCAGUCCACUGCCGGCCGCAACUGCUCCUCCGCCGGGGCGCCCUCCUUCUGCCUUCCUGGCCCUCGGAACAAUCUGGUGGACAACGUUUGCCCAUCUCACCACCUCCAGCUCCCGCGCCCACAGCCUUGAGGACCGGUACGGCCCUCCCAGCAAACUGUCUCCCACCGUCUCCCCAAGAACUGGAGUUCCCAGUGGACGGCCGCCGCAAUCUGGACGCGGGAGCUCGCGGGUCUAGGUCGCUGCUCAAGACAGGGGUGCCCGGUGGGGCUUUGAUGCAGAAACUUUUUCGAGGAGACUGCGGGUCGCAGCAGCUGGGAGUUUCGGCUCAGAGCUUCAUCCGCCGACUUUCCUGUUAACAAUACUCACUUCUCAGAAAGUGAGGAAGGGCAAGAGAGAGAGAGAGAGAAACAUCGAUAGGCCGCCUCCCGUGUGUGCCCUGACCGGGGAUCAAACCCACAACCUAGGUAUGUGCCUGGACCAGUAAUGGGACACACAACCUUUUGGUGCACAAGAUGACGCUCCAACCAACUGAGCCACCCGACCAGGGCUUGGUAUUCUUAAGAACAAUGUUCAUCAUUGGACAAAGUGGGGUGCAAUCUCGCCGUAAGUUUACUAGGAGGAGGGAUGAGGCACCCUUUACGAGUGAGUAUACAGACCACACCCGUCAGGGACAAUGGUGGGGAGAAUCUGGGUUCUCUGGCCCUCCCUGCGCCCACCCUGAGACCCCAAAGCCUCCUGGUGUUUUCCUGCCCCAGGGGGCGAGUCUACGUUUCCUGAAGGAGCCCAGUUGUGGGAGCCCGAUGCUCCAUGAGAACGAACGUGGUAGGCAGAAUAAUGGCCUCCUGAAGAUGUCCACAUUCCCAAUCCCCAGAACCUGUGCAGCAGUUCUGUUGCAAGGCAGGGAGAAUGAAGACUGCAGACAGAAUUCAAGUUGCUAAUUAGCUGAGUUCACAAUAGAGAGAUUGUCCUGAAUUACCUAAGUGGGCUUCAUGUCAUCAUGAGUGUCCUUUAAAUGUGGAAGGAGACAGGAGAGGGAGUGAGUGUCAGAGGGAUGCCAGCCCAGAAGGCUUGGCCAGCCGUACUUGCUUGGAGGUGGAAGGGGGUCGAGAGCCAGGAGAUGCGGGCAGCCUCUAGGAGCUGGAAAAGCCAGAAGGCAGAUCCUGCCCCCAGAGAGCAACACAGUCCUGCCAGCGCUUUGGUUCCAGCACAGGGAGACCCAUUCAGGACUUCUGGCUGCCAGAACUGUGCAGGAAUGUAUCUGCCUUGCGCCAGGCCACCCCAUUUGUGAUAAUUUGUUAAAUGGGUGAUUCAGACCACAGGGUGGCAGUCCUCAGCCCACCAGAUGCCCCCCAUUCGGCAAAGAACCACGAAGGGGCCACAACAUCUUGUGAGAGAAUCAGAACGUCUGGUAAUAGUUCACGUGGGCCCCCGUGAGCACUGUGGGGCGUGUGCUUGCCGCGUCCCAAGACCACAUUCAAACUACAACUAAACUAUGAAAUGGUCAUCGCUGAGAACAGCCUGAAAUCUGGCAGAACAAAAGCCCAAUCGUUAAGCAUAUGCCUAAGGGGCCAUGUCGGGGCCAACUCAGUAACUGUAUGGGAAGAAAUGAAUCUUGGGGACUUCCACCAAGAUGGAGGCGUAGGUGGAAGCACUGCACCUUCUUGCACAACCAAGUUUAAAAACAAUAAAGUUUUAGCAACAAAAAUGCAGCCAAACCACAGAAAAUUGAACUAUACGGAAGUCUGACAACAACAAAUCCUUCAGCCAAACUGGUAAGAGGGGCAGAGCCAGCAGCAGAGCGGGGGUCAAGCAGGAAAGAUCCACCGGACCGACCCGGGCCCAGGACCCAGGUGCGCCAGCAGCCGUGGGCGGAUCCCAGGUGUGGAAGGGCGGGUGGACCCACUGAGGACACAAGGCAGUGGACUCACUGAGGGCUGACCACGGUCACACAUUAGAGCGCAGAUAAACUGGUGAAGGAGUGAGCAGUGAGACAGACCGCCCAAGCCCCAGUGGCGGGAAGCGGCAGAGGGGACCGCUAUUGUCCCUCUCUGACCCUGCCCCCACAUACAGCAUCACAAACCAGCAACCCUGGGUGGCCCUACCCUGGUGAACACCUAAGGCUCCACUCAUACGUAACAGGCACAAACAGAUCAAAACAUGGCUCAAGAACAACUCAGAGCCCCAGAGCCAAUAAAUCUAAGUGAUGAAGAAAUAGCCAAACUUUCGGAUGCACAGUUCAAAAUACUGGUAAUCAGGAUGCUCACAGAACUGGUUGAUUUUAGUCACAAAUUAGAGGAACAUAUGAAGGCUAAACUAAUUAAAAUGAAGGGAAAGGCACAGGAAACCAAUAGUAAUGGAAAGGAAACUGGGACUCAAAUCAAAGGAGUGGACCAGAAGGAAGAAAAAAAUGACCAAACAGAAAAGAAUGAAGAAACAAGAAUUCAAAAAAAGGAGGAGAGUCUUAGGAACCUACAGGACAUCUUUAAACGCUCCAACAUCUGAAUUAUAGGGGUACCAGAAGAGGAAGAGGAACAGCCACAAGUGGAGAACUUAUUUGAACAAAUAAUAAAGGAGAACUUCUCCAAUCUGGCAAAGGAAAUAGACUUCCAGGAAGUCCAGGAAGCUCAGAGUCCCAAAGAAGUUGGACUCAAGAAGGAACACACCAAGGCACAUCAUCAUUACAUGAGCCAAGAUUAAAAUGAAGGAGAGACUCCUAGAAGCAGCAAGAGCUAAGGGGACAGUCACCUACAAAGGAGUUCCCAUCAGACUGUCAGUGGAUUUCUCAAAAGAGACCUUACAGGCAAGAAGGGGCUGGAAAGAAGGAUUCCAAGUCAUGAAAUCCAAAGACCUACAUCCAAGAUUACUCUAUCCAGCAAAGCUUUCAUUUAGAAUGGAAGGGCAGAUAAAGUGCUUCUCAGAUAAGAUCAAAUUCAAGGAGUUCAUCAUCACCAAGCCCUUAUUACAUGAAAUGUUAAAGGGACUUAUCUAAGAAAAAGAAGAUAAAAAAGAUGAACAGUGAAAGGACAGCAAACUCACAGUUAUUAAGAACCACACCUAAAACAAAAGCAAUCCAACAGGACAGCUAGACCAGGAGUAGAACCAGAGAAAUGAAGAUCACAUGAAGGGUUAGCAACAGGGGAGUAGGAGAAGGAGAAGGGGGGAGAAGGUACAGAAAAUAAGUAGCAUAGAUGGUAGGUAGAAAGUAGAUGGGGGGAGGGCAAGAAUAGUAUGGGAAAUAUAGAAUCUAAAGAACUUGAGAC